UCUUGUAGAAUGAGGAAGAUUUAGGCCAUAACAGGUCUGUGAUGCUCUUAGAUGUCCUGGGCUGCACGCGUACUACAAUAACGGUACCAGCGAGCGCUAUGGUUUUUUAACCCCUUAUCCUAAUAGGAUUGGGUAAACUUUUCAAACACCGUUAUGACAGGGAUCGAGGAUUGGAACAUCCUCGUGAACGAGGAAUUCCUAGUAAGCGUGGUUCAUCAUACCACAUUGAUUACGUCCCUGCCUUUUGUACACACCGCCCGUCGCUCCUACCGAUGGGACGAAGAGAUGAACCUGGCGGACCAAACCGUGAGGUGAGGGAAACCAGUUAAAUCUAUUCGUCUGUAGGAAGGAAAAGUCGUAACAAGGUCUUCGUAGGUGAACCUGCGUAGGGAUCAUUU
rnacentral:rRNA from 1 species